rnacentral:rRNA from 1 species
CCUACGGGUGACAGCAGUGGGGGAUAUUGCACAAUGGGGGGAACCCUGAUGCAGCGACGCCGCGAGAGCGAUGGAGGACUUCGGGAGGGAAAGCUCUGUCAGCAGGGAAGAAAAUGACGGUACCUGACCAAGAAGCCCCGGCCAAAUCCGUGCCAGCAGCCGCGGUAAUACGGAUGGGGCAAGCGUUAUCCGGAUUUACUGGGUGUAAAGGGAGCGUAGGGGGGAGGGCAAGCCUGAUGUGAAAGCCCGGGGCUCAACCCCGGGACUGCCUUGGGAACUGCCCUGCUGGAUUGCCGGAGGGGCAGGCGGAAUUCCUCGUGUAGCGGUGAAAUGCGUAGAUAUUAGG